CAAGGGGAGAAUCGGUGCUUGGAUCAGCAAGUUGCCAGUCUGUCAGCUGAGUUUACGGCUCUGCAGAAAAGGCUUAGCCCAGAGAUGGAAUUGAAAUACUGAAUUGGACAAUGCCAGAACCACUCCAGCCCUUUGUUUGCUGACUGGAGAAACAUUGCCAAGAGCCUGGGAUGCAUGGAGAAUCCUGGAAGGAAUCUGCUGAGGAGGAUUACCAAAAGCCUGUGUCGAGGCUGUGGCUUGGUACACCCCUCUCUACUGCAGCAGAAGACAAGGAUGGGUGUUGAAAGAGGAAAAAAACAAUUUGAGAACAUUGUCUUACAACUUUCUCAACAACAGAGCAAAAAGAGGGAUGGCAAAAUGAACAGGAAUUGACAUCAAAUGAUGCAGAGUGGAAGAAGCUGACCCAUGACAAGCACAAGAAAAGACAAAUCUUCAUUAAAAGGUAUGUGGAAAUAAUGAGUGUUGUCAUCAACAUGGAGGAAGUAGCCAGAAAAACAUCCUUCAGCUCCCAGCUGGCUGAGUGGUAAAGGCAGAAAGCAGCAACUCAACCAGGGGUGAGUAGAGUUGCUACAAAACAGUUUUCAAAACAAACAAGCAAACAAAAUAAAGAAAAAAGAGCUUAAAAAAAUCCCGCAUUUCAGAAUGCAAGAAUUUCUUUAUUUUGUUGAAAAUCCUUUUAGCCGCCUUUCUGUGAGGAAGACCUAUGCCAGACCACAAAUGGAAAGCAUCUGGAUUCAGGCAUUGCAACUUGAUCACAGCCAAACACAUCUAAUUCUAGAGAAUUCCAUGUUUGCAUCUUAGGUUUGCUUUCAUUUGGAAACUAUUUACAGAGUUCCUUCCAGGGAAAAUAAAGGUUCAAGUGCACACCCAGAUAUAAUUUUUUAAUCUCUUUGAAGA